CAGUCGCCGCGGUAAUACGAGGGGGGCAAGCGUUGUUCGGAAUUAUUGGGCGUAAAGGGUGCGUAGGCGGCUUGACAAGUCUUGUGUGAAAUCUAUGGGCUCAACCCAUAGUCUGCACGGGAAACUGUCGGGCUUGAGAAUGGGAGAGGUGAGUGGAAUUUCCGGUGUAGCGGUGAAAUGCGUUGAGAUCGGAAAGAACACCAACGGCGAAAGCACUCUGCUGGGCCGACACUGACACUGAGAGACGAAAGCUAGGGGAGCAAAUGGGAUUAGAGACCCGUGUAGUCCCUGUCUCUUAUAC
rnacentral:rRNA from 1 species